GCCACACAGGUCUCACCAUGGCUUGUUCCACCUCCAUGGCUGAGAUAAUCAGUAUUGAUAAUUUCAGCCAAUCCAAUGCAUUCCAAUAGGAAAGCAUUGGAAGGCUGUUGCACAUGCACAAUAUAGUAUUGCUAAUCUCAGCCAUGGAGGUGAAUCUAGGGAGCCUCAGAGAUUUUUCCUAUUACAUUUAUUGGAAAAGGGAGGGCAAUAUAUAAUUUUGGACAGAGACACU